UACAGAGGGUGCAAGCGUUGUUCGGAAUCAUUGGGCGUAAAGAGCUCGUAGGCGGUCUGUCGCGUCGGAUGUGAAAACUCGGGGCUCAACCCCGAGCCUGCAUUCGAUACGGGCAGACUAGAGUUCGGUAGGGGAGACUGGAAUUCCUGGUGUAGCGGUGAAAUGCGCAGAUAUCAGGAGGAACACCGGUGGCGAAGGCGGGUCUCUGGGCCGAUACUGACGCUGAGGAGCGAAAGCGUGGGGAGCGAACAGG
rnacentral:rRNA from 1 species